AUGCAGCUUGGAUCUCUCAUCCUCACGGCCUUCCUGGGGCAACUGCUGGGCACCAUGGGACAGACCACUGUCACCCAGCAAGAAGCACAAGUCACAGUGAAGCAGGGAGACACCUUCCAGACAACCUGCACAUACCAGACUUCCAGCUUUUAUGCUUUGCUUUGGUACCAGCAGAGGAAAGGCCAAGGUCCCCAGCUGGUCUCCUAUCAGGUAGCAGCUGGCCGCAAGCCCAGUGGCCGUCUCACCACCGUGCUGAACACCACCGAGAAAUACAGCCUCCUGCAGCUGGAGGAAGUCGGGCUCUCUGACAGUGCCUUGUACCUCUGUGCUGUGCAAGACACAGUGGAAACAGAUCUUGUCAUCGUUUCUACUGUCAACAACUACGACCCUGCCAGAAGUGUAUUGUACACGAACAAGUAUCAGCAGCUUUCACGUCCUUAUUUCUUGGAGUUCUGUGAGUACAUCAAAGACACCAUGGGCAUGCCAGGGGCCUUGUACUACCCCAGAAUGCCCUAG